CAGUCGCCGCGGUAAUACGAAGGGUGCAAGCGUUAAUCGGAAUUACUGGGCGUAAAGCGUGCGUAGGUGGUUUGUUAAGUCUGUUGUGAAAUCCCCGGGCUCAACCUGGGAAUGGCAAUGGAUACUGGCAAGCUAGAGUGUGUUAGAGGAUGGUGGAAUUCCCGGUGUAGCGGUGAAAUGCGUAGAUAUGCGGAGGAACACCGAUGGCGAAGGCAGCCCCCUGGGCCAACACUGACGCUCAUGCACGAAAGCGUGGGGAGCAAACAGGAUUAGAGACCCCAGUAGUCCCUGUCUCUUAUAC
rnacentral:rRNA from 1 species